GUCCGGAGAGCGGCUGCUGGUGGCGGCGACGGCGCUGGAAACUUACCAAGCGACGCCGCCGCUGCGAGGCUCCUGGGGAGCCGACUUGAGAGCUCCUGGCCAUGGAAACAGCUGCCUAACAGUGUCGUCCUACCUAGGUCUACUCAGAAGUGCUACCAGACUGUUACUGCUUUCAGGGAAACCAGCCUGGCAACUCCUGAAUGCAGAAUUCCACACCCACCCUUGACCCAAGUACAUACCGAGCAUACAUAACUGUCUGGUUUGUUGAGAAUGUACUCGAAUAUUUAUAUAGAUUCUUUGAUGUUCUUCUCUUUUGAAGGCCUUCAGAAUAUCUUCCUUUGUCCCCCACCUGCAACACCUCUCACCACCACCUUGAGAACAAACUGUCAUAUUCUGACUGUGAUGUGAUGCCAGUGACGCCGAGUAGGAACCAAAGUGUUCCAAAAAUGGUUGCAUGGAGGGAAAUUUAAUAAGGAGGAACACUAAGGAAGGAACAGAAAUCAACAGCAACACAGCCAUUUUAUCAGCGGCAUCUUUCUUCAUGUCAGGGUGCGGGACUCGUCCUUUGGGUAGUGAGUGGAGGUUCCCCAGGCAAACGAAGUCUAAGAAAUGUUCAACUAUCCAUACUUAUGUUGUGUUUGGAGCAUGACAAACCGGGAAAAUCAAGUGUCCAAUUAGAAAAGGUUUUGGACUUUAUGGGUCCAUCAUGUAUAAUCGCUUUGCUUAGCUCCUGGAAGCAACUCCAAGAGAA